UAGUGGAGUCUCCUUCCCUGGAGAUAUUCAAAACCUGUCUGGACGCGUGAAAUAUGCCGGGCAAUGUGCCCUAGGUGACCGUGCUUGAGCAGGGGGGUGUGGACUAGAUGAUCUCCAGAGGUCCCUUCCAACCUUGGUCAUUCUGUGAUUCUGUGAAAUUUCAUUGCUACUUGACACUACUCUUAAGUUGGGACCUAUCCUGAUUGUCAAACCAAUGAAAGAGACCUGUAUUUCUUCUUAAAGAAAUAAUUGAGUAAUAUUUUGCUAAUCUGACUAAUGUAACUCAAAAGAUUAUAUUUUGUGUCUAUAAUAUAGUCAAUGCCAGUGUUUUAGAGCUCUGAGUAAUACAUAAUUAGUGCUUGUUACUUUUUUAGGCUCUAAGUUUGUAAUAUUAUGGUUUUUGGCAAAGGAGUCUUCACACCUGUGCUGUUUGCAUUGAAAUUCUGGAUAACAUUAGCGUAACUGCUCUGUUCCCCCUACAGAAACUUCAGGAAAAGAAAAGAACCAAUGGACGGACUUUUAAAAGUAUCUUUAAACUUCAGUAUCAAGGAAACUGAAACUGACCCAGGUAGCACUAAAGCCGUCAGACGUACUAGAGGCCAAGCUGACAAGGCUGGACUCAGGAAAAGGACAGUGCUUCAAAGUGUAAAGGUGACAUCAAAGGGACUCGGCAAGACACAAAAAAGCCCGACCUAUUCAACAGCAGGUUUUGCAUCUACUGAUCCCAGAGAGCAACUGAAUUUAUUCCUUCCUACCCACUGCUGCAGAAGCAAAACUUCAGUUUUUCUAAACUGAUGCCCGUGUCUACUCCAGCUCAGUUCUAGGAACAAGUUACUGUAUUUUUUUCUACUAGGAAAUCCAACCUAAAGAUAAAGAUGCUCCCAUCCUCCAAGAAGAGAGAUCUCCAUCCAAGACUCUGGAUACUCUUUGCAAAAGCACUUUCUGAAAACGAAGAGCCUCGGGAUCAGUAACUUCUCUGAGUGCACAAACAUACAGUACAGUAUUGUGCCCACAAACAAUAUCAAGCCUGCAUUCUGAAAUGAGAAUAACACUUGGAAUGCUAGCAACAAGAUGCUUUUUUGUGUUUGAAAAUUUCAGGCUUUUAACAGAUCACUGUGCCAUCAGAAUCAGUGAUUCACAGAAAUGAAUUGUUGUUAUCAAAGACACACGUUGCAAGUCUGGAGGGGGAUUCAGGAAAUGCAGCUUCAGCUAGUGCAAAGAACUGUCACCUCUUUGCUCUGGUUAUCCAUGUCCCUAAAUUAGCCAUGAGAUAAUUCUGCCACUUCACUGAACCUUUGUGCAUUCUGCAUUGAAGGGUGCUUAUUCUUCCUUGUCCAGGGGGAAAUGUUUUAGUGGUGUUUAUGGAAAAAACAAGAGAAUAAA